rnacentral:rRNA from 1 species
AGCGAACGCUGGCGGCAGGCCUAACACAUGCAAGUCGGACGAAGCCUUCGGGCUUAGUGGCGGACGGGUGAGUAACACGUGGGAACGUACCUUUUGGUUCGGAACAACUCAGGGAAACUUGAGCUAAUACCGGAUGAGCCCUUAGGGGGAAAGAUUUAUCGCCGAAAGAGCGGCCCGCGUUAGAUUAGCUAGUUGGUGAGGUAAAGGCUCACCAAGGCUACGAUCUAUAGCUGGUCUGAGAGGAUGAUCAGCCACACUGGGACUGAGACACGGCCCAGACUCCUACGGGAGGCAGCAGUGGGGAAUCUUGCGCAAUGGGCGAAAGCCUGACGCAGCCAUGCCGCGUGAAUGAUGAAGGUCUUAGGAUUGUAAAAUUCUUUUACCAGGGACGAUAAUGACGGUACCUGGAGAAAAAGCCCCGGCUAACUUCGUGCCAGCCGCCGCUGUAACAC